ensembl:lncRNA
CAUAGACCCACUAGUACCGCAGUAAGACCCAUAGACCCACUAGUACCGCAGUAAGACCUAUAGACCCACAGUACCGCAGUAAGACCCAUAGACCCACUAGGACCGCAGUAAGACCCAUAGACCCACUAGUACCGCAGUAAGACCCAUAGACCCACUAGUACCGCAGUAAGACCCAUAGACCCACUAGUACCGCAGUAAGACCCAUAGACCCACUAGUACCGCAGUAAGACCCAUAGACCUCACAGUACCGCAGUAAGACCCAUAGACCUCACAGUACCGCAGUAAGACCCAUAGACCCACUAGUACCGCAGUAAGACCCAUAGACCCACUAGGACCGCAGUAAGACCCAUAGACCCACUAGGACCGCAGUAAGACCCAUAGACCCACUAGGACCGCAGUAAGACCCAUAGACCCACUAGGACCGCAGUAAGACCCACUAGGACCGCAGUAAGACCCAUAGACACACUAGGACCGCAGUAAGACCCAUAGACCCAUUAGUACCGCAGUAAGACCUAUAACUGACCAGUUUAACAUCAUCACAACACACCUCCAGCACGUCAGAGGGUAGACUGUACUAUGUAGGCUUUACUGAGUCCUUCUGACGGGAAACGGAAUGGUAGGGAAGUAUUUCUUCCUCAUUUAUUUAAAAAAUGUUUUUUUCACCUUUAUUUAACCAGGUAGGCCAGUUGAGAACAAGUUCUCAAUAACAACUGGGACCUGGCCAAGAUAAAGCAAAGCAGUGUGACAAACAACACAGAGUUACACAUAAACAAACGUACAGUCAAUAAUACAGUAGAAAUAUCCAUGUACAGUGUGUGCAAAUAGAGUAAGGUUAGGGAGGUAAGGCACUAAUGAGGGACUGACGUUUAUAAAGGCCUCUGGUGGGGAGGGGGGGUUGGCAGGGACUGAAUCACACCCCCAGGCAGCAGCAGGCCUGCCCUGCUGGCGAGAACUGAACAUAGGGACCAUUGUAUGAGUCUGGGCUCAGCCUGUCACCACACAUCUCCUCUGACAAGCCCAGCCUUCAGGGCCAGGGGGGAGGGAGGCCAGCACCAGACACCAGUCACAGGGGAGGGAGGCCAGCACCAGACACCAGUCACAGGGGAGGGAGGCCAGCACCAGACACCAGUCACAGGGGAGG